CGCUGUUAAUGAUGAUCGUUUUGAAACAAUGGGAAUCUCUCUGAAUUAGAAUGAAAGAGAUCUAUGUACUGAAACAGAU